rnacentral:rRNA from 1 species
GACGAACGCUGGCGGCGUGCUUAACACAUGCAAGUCGAACGGAAAGGCCCUGCUUGCAGGGUACUCGAGUGGCGAACGGGGGAGUAACACGUGGGUGAUCUGCCCUGCACUUCGUGAUAAGCCUGGGAAACUGGGUCUAAUACCGGAUAGGAGCCAUCUUGAGUCUGAUGGUUGGAAAGUUUUUUCGGUGUAGUAUGAGCUCGCGGCCUAUCAGCUUGUUGGUGGGGUAAUGGCCUACCAAGGCGGCGACGGGUAGCCGGCCUGGGAGGGUGGACGGCCACAUUGGGACUGAGAUACGGCCCAGACUCCUACGGGAGGGAGCAGUGGGGAAUAUUGCAAAAUGGGCGCGAGCCUGAUGCAGGGAAGCCGCGUGGGGGAUGACGGCCUUCGGGUUGUAAACUCCUUUCGCUAGGGACGAAGCUUUUUGUGACGGUACCUAGAUAAGAAGCACCGGCUAACUACGUG